GACGAACGCUGGCGGCGUGCUUAACACAUGCAAGUCGAGCGAAGCGGCGGACGGGUGAGUAACCCGUGAGUAAGCUGCCUUCGACAUUGGGCUAGCCUCGGGAAACCGGAAGUAAUACCAAAUGGUCUAAGAUGGACUCUCGUCCCAUUAGCUAGUUGGUGGGUAACGGCCCACGAAGGAGACGAUGCGUAGCCGGCCCGGGAGGGUGAACGGCAACCUUGGAACUGAGAAACGGUCCAAACUCUGCGAGAGGCAGCAGUGGGGAAUAUUGCACAAUGGAGGAAACUCUGAUGCAGCGACGCCGUGUGAACGAAGAAGGCGUUCGAGUCGUAAAGUUCUUUUAAAUGGGAACCGGUACCAUAAGAAAAAGCCACGGCUAACUACGUGCCAGCAGCCGCGGUAAUUC
rnacentral:rRNA from 1 species